rnacentral:lncRNA from 1 species
AACCACACCUCUACAGUUAAUUCAAAACAAAGGUUUGUUACUGAAAUACUACGCCCUAGACACAAUUGUGCCUCUUAGCAUCAUCAAUAUGGUUGACAAACCUACAAUGGUGUCGCAAUGAUCUUACUCUUCUACUAACAGUAAUAAAAGUUAAAUUAGCAACUCCACUCUAAAGCAAUAAAGUUAAGUUAUAAUAACAAUUUGCUACAGUAUGGAUAGCCCUCAAAUUAAGGUACCACUUGUUUAGGAUUUGCCCAUUCGGCAGGCACAACUCAACACUAAUUACUAACGUUUUUUUUCCUAAUAUUUUGUACCUAAUAUAUUUCUUUUUUUAAAAGAUUAUUCAUGCAAUUUAUUCUUUAUGUUCUGUUUUUUUUUUCUUUCCUCAGAAGGUUUUAGAGUAUUAAAAACAAAAAAAAAGGGCUGGUUGUUUGAGCACAUAUCAGAACCCCUCCUACUACGUGAAACAAAUUAAUUAAUCGAUGAUAUGUAAAAAUUUAUACUGCUCUAAAAUAAUAAUAAUAAUAAUAAUAAUAAUAAUAAUAAUAAUAAUAAUUUUACCACUUUCGGUUGGAAUUUGCGGAGGAGGCGAAGGCGGAGAGGAUGGGCACGCGGGCAGGGGAACGGUGAGGCGCAGGCGAGAGGGUGGCACCUGCGUAGCGAUGCGAGGAUCAGUGAGGAACGGUGAGGCGCAGGUGAGAGGGCGGCGAUGCGUAGCGAUGCGAGGAUCGGUGAGGAACUGUGAGGCGCAGGCUAGAGGGUGGCGCCUGCGUAGCGAUGCGAGGAUCGGUGAGGAACAGUGAGGCGCAGGCGAGAGGGUGGCGCUUGCGUAGCGAUGCGAGAAUCGGUGAAGCGCAGGCGAGGGAAGGGAACGGUGAGCAUGCGGGUUUGAAGCAGAGA